GCCGGGCAAGGUGGCGCAUGCCUGUAGUCCCAGCUAUUCGGGAGGCUGAGGCUGGAGGAUCUCUUGAGUCCAGGAGUUCUGGGCUGUAGUGCGCUAUGCUGAUCAAGUGUCCGCACUAAGUUUGGCAUUAAUAUGGUGACCUCAUGAGAGCGGGGGACCACCAGGUUGCCUAAGGAGGGAUGAACCGGACCAGGUAGGAAACGGAGCAGGUCAAAACUCCCAUGCUGAUCAGUAGUGGGAUUGCGCCUGUGAAUAGCCACUGCACUCCAGCCCGGGCAGCAUAGCGAGACCCUGUCUCUA
ensembl:misc_RNA Metazoa_SRP Metazoan signal recognition particle RNA